AUUGAACGCUGGCGGCAGGCCUAACACAUGCAAGUCGAACGGUAGCACAGAGAGCUUGCUCUCGGGUGACGAGUGGCGGACGGGUGAGUAAUGUCUGGGAAACUGCCCGAUGGAGGGGGAUAACUACUGGAAACGGUAGCUAAUACCGCAUAACGUCACAAGACCAAAGUGGGGGACCUUCGGGCCUCACACCAUCGGAUGUGCCCAGAUGGGAUUAGCUAGUAGGGGGGGUAAUGGCUCACCUAGGCGACGAUCCCUAGCUGGUCUGAGAGGAUGACCAGCCACACUGGAACGGAGACACGGUCCAGACUCCUACGGGAGGCAGCAGUGGGGAAUAUUGCACAAUGGGCGCAAGCCUGAUGCAGCCAUGCCGCGUGUAUGAAGAAGGCCUUCGGGUUGUAAAGUACUUUCAGCGGGGAGGAAGGCGGUGAAGUUAAUAGCUUCACCGAUUGACGUUACCCGCAGAAGAAGCACCGGCUAACUCCGUGCCAGCCGCCGCCGUAA
rnacentral:rRNA from 1 species